GAUGAAGAACGCAGCGAAAUGCGAUACGUAAUGUGAAUUGCAGAAUUCAGUGAAUCAUCGAAUCUUUGAACGCAUAUUGCGCUCUCUGGUAUUCCGGAGAGCAUGCUUGUUUGAGUAUCAGAAAACACCUCAACUUCCAUAUCUUUUUUGAAAUGGGAGUUGGACUUGAGUGAUCCCAACGCUUUUCCUCACCGAAAAGUGGCGGGUUACUUGAAAUGCAGGUGCAGCUGGACUUUUCUCUGAGCUAUAAGCAUAUCUAUUUAGUCUGCCUAAAAAACAGAUUAUUACCUUUGCUGCAGCUAACAUAAAGGAGAUUAGUUCUUGUGCUGACUGAUGCAGGAUUCACAAAGACAGGCUUCGGCCGACUUUGUAAACUCGAUCUCAAAUCAAGUAAGACUACCCGCUGAACUUAAGCAUAUCAAUAAGCGGAGGA
rnacentral:misc_RNA from 1 species